GCUUUCGUCCUCCUCCGCCUCCCCUGUCUUUCCGACCUCCAGAUCGCAGGCCGGCCACCGGAGUAACCGAGCGAGCUCACCUCCGCGGCGGUCCUUCCCGCGGUCGGCGAGAUCCAUCCGCAAUCUCCUCCCUUGCCCCACCUUCUAGUUCCAGAAUACCGUUCCGUUCUUUGGCGCGGCAAGCCGGAGAGCGGCCGGCGGCCACCGGAGACCGAGGCGGAUCUAGCAUGCGGCGGCGCUCCGGUGACACCCGCAGAAACCAAGCGCAAGGGUGAGGAGGCAACUCACUCGCACUCGGGCCGUGUGUUCUACUUCUUACAAUUCUCUUCACUUGGAUAAGCUUUCGGACGGAUAAAGGCAGCGAAGGCAUUUUGAUCCUGAUACCAGGUGCUUCGCUCAUUCUGCAAGUAAAGGAGUGGAGUAAUAGAGUUGGGGUGGAAUAACAGCGCAGUGCGGCACAUGUCGGCACUCUCAGGCGGCCAGAGAACGACGUGUUUCAACACUGCAAACUCAUUUUGGCAUUUCCAGUUGGGUGCACGAUGGUAGCUGCACGAUGCGCAUGCGGGUCUCUGAGAACGGCCUCUAUCUAUCUGGAGGGUAUACAUACAUUCAAGGCUUUGAGGAAGCAUAUCGCAAGCAAUGUCUGAAGUCGUCCCGGGCAGCUCCUGAACACACUUCUCUACAUGAAUUCUUCCAGGAUGACCAUCACUUGAUCUUCUUCUGUCGAGUACUGGGGCGUCUUGGCGGAGUGCGUGGCUGCUGCUGCUGUCAUCUUUGAUUUUGGUGAAUGCACUCGUCGCUGUCACUGAAUAGCAGAGGUGCUACGGUACAGACCUGGUGAAUAACAAACUAUGUACUAGUACUAGAGAAGAUUCAGAAGCCCAAGGCAUCUACAGUUUGGCCCUUCAACCAAGCAUCCAGCUUGCUUGCUACA